UUUACUUUGGUAUAAUUAUUUGAUAAUAAUUGAAUAAGUAGCCAGCUAAUUUCUAAUGGUUAACGUGACAUUGUGACAAUUGAAUUAACUAUUACUUAAAUUUUUUUGUUUAAACCCUAGGAGGACCACCACUGAACCUACACCACUAUAUAUUAUUCUAAUUCUAUAAUUUUUCAUCCAAAGUUUAAAAGUAAUAAAAGAGCCAAAAUACUAUUAAUAGUAUUCUAACCUAAUUCUCUCUCUCUCUCUUUCUCUCUACUUGAUAUUUCCAAUUUUUUGACCCUUGGAUCAAAAAUUGUAUGGUUGGAAUGAUAGUGCUCCCUAGGAUUGAGUGAUUCCUACAAGAUAAUAAUAUUAAUUCAAAUGUUAGAAAUAAUCAAAGGACCUGAUCCAAGGCCGAAAAGUUAGAAGCACCAAGUUUUUUAUGCUUAAUAUAUAUAUAU
rnacentral:lncRNA from 1 species